rnacentral:tRNA from 1 species
GCUCAGUCAGUUAAGUGUUUAACUCUUGAUUUCAACUCGAGUCAUGAUCUCAUGGUUCGUGGGUUUGAACCCUGCACUGGGCU